rnacentral:lncRNA from 1 species
CACCCUAUCUGAAUCUGUAUUUUGGAAAAGCUUAUCAUGCUUACUCUACUAUGUAUUUAGUCGAACCCUGCUUAAUCUUGCCGUGUGGCAUAGCCCCGACCCACUACCCUCGCCAAACAUGGCCAAUAUGGUGUGUGUAAUGUUAGGUCAAAAUCCUUUUUAUUUAAGUGUAUAUUUGUUUGCCUUAAAGAGGAGUGUAUUGUCCUUUUCGGUUUGUGAUGCGUAUGAAAUAAACAAAAUUGUUUGUGUUUGGCACUUCAUGCCUUUUGACGGUCAGUUUCUUGAUCAUGAUCCAAAGAAGCUUUCUUGGUCAGUUUAUCUCACAUCUAAUUAAAUGGCUCCCAAAUAGCUAUUGCUACUAGGACGAUUCUUCGGACUACAUAUCACUCAAUUUCAAUUUUCAUCUGAGUGAGUUUGGAGCCUACGAAUUCAGAUGAUUUUUCGCGAGAGUAGUCCUCUUUUUCUUAGGUGGUGAUGAAACCAUCCCUUCGUAGGAAUCAGGGCCACCGGUUUCGAGAAUUUUAGCAUCACAAUUCACACACGAAGUCUCGCUGCCCUCCCUUCCUUGGUGGUCAGCCCAUAUAGAAUUUUUCAUGGCCCAUAAAAGGACUUUCGAACUCCUCGAGGGUUGGGUUCGAGCAUAGGAUGUUUCCAUGGCCCAAAUCUUCCCGUUAGCAACCUUCUUCUGUCAGUAGCUUCUCCUCUCGCGUUAAUAGCACAACCAUCAGUUGUUGAUAGCAGGUCAAGUACCAUCACUCUGUUAAUAGCAGGUCAAGCAGUGUGACGGAAACGCACGAAAUAAAAAGUCCCCAACAUGGCCGCGUGCACCCGUGUCAAGUCUCCUCCCGUCGAGAUCACGAGACUCCGCGUGAGACCGAUCCGCGCUCAUGGCCGGUGCUGACAAAUCGCGGUAGCUUGGCGUGAUCAAAAGCACCAGGUACGGUUACUGAUGCAUGCGAUACGAUUUGCCAGAUCGCUCACGGCCGUGCACUAGUUUUCUACCCUCCCGUGCCUCUCGUCAUAUUGUCCUUCCGCGCGUCGAGGCCUUUCGUUUCUCACCGCCAGCGGCCGCUGACGCGGUGCGUGUGCUUGUGUUUUCUUCUCUGCCUGCAGGUCGUUACCAACUUGGAAACCGCCAGCGAUCAUUGACAACGACUCCGAGGGUCGAACGCGUGAGCUCGUAAUAACAGGCAGGACGCUGAAUGCUCACCCUCAUCAGCCUCAGCCACACCGUUUGAAUCUUUCAACCAUCCGUGUGGAUUGCUAACGCUAAUUGUUGUCAUCGAUGGACAUGUUUUAAAAGCGAAAACAACGUGAAACCAAGCAGGAUCGGAGGAGUUGCCCCGGUCAGUUACGCUUGCGCGUGGGGGUGCGUGCCCUCUGACCACCCUGGCCCCAGCGGCAGCCACCCAACGAGCCAAAGGCCAUGUCAUUCCGUCAACAUCCGCCGCACCAUUUUCCUCUCCAACUCCCCCUACCCAAAAGCCCACGAACUUUCCCAGGCUCCUUCCGCACACCCAACACGCGGCCAAGCACCCGGCGGCACCCCUACAAAUACGCCCCCGCCCACCACGUUCCCGAUCGAAAACCAUCAAACCCCACCGUGCCCAUCCCCCGAAAACCCCACAAACCACCGAGCCCCAGAACGAUAUCCUCCGAUCCCCCAAACCACCGCCUCCCAGUCUCAACCAUGGCGUUCCGGCUGAGCAACAACCUGAUCGGGAUCCUGAACGCGGUGACCUUCCUUCUCUCCAUCCCGAUCCUGGGCGCGGGCAUUUGGCUGGGCCACCGCGCCGACGGCACCGAGUGCGAGCGCUACCUCUCGGCGCCCGUAAUCGCGCUGGGGGUCUUCCUCCUCGUCGUCUCCAUCGCGGGGCUCGUCGGCGCCUGCUGCCGCGUCACCUGGCUGCUCUGGGUCUACCUCCUCGCCAUGUUCGUCCUCAUCGUCGCCCUCUUCUGCUUCACCGUCUUCGCCUUCGUCGUCACCAACCGGGGCGCCGGGGAGGCCGUGUCGGGCCGGGGGUACAAGGAGUACAGGCUUGGGGACUACUCCAACUGGCUGCAGAAGCGGGUGGAGAACAACAAGAACUGGAACAGGAUCAGGAGCUGCCUCCAGGGCUCCAAGGUCUGCAAGAACCUGCAGGACAAGAAGGAGUCGGUCACCGACUUCAUGCGUUCCGACCUCUCCCCGAUCGAGGUACUUGCUUAAUUACGUGAAAAAUGCAUUUUUCUUCCCUUAAUCUUCAGUCUCAGUUUUUUUUUUGACAAAUCACCAAGACAGAUUCUAAAACAAACUCUAUCUAUCUGUAGCCGGCGUUUUGUCUUACAGAAAAAGAAUACUUCUUUUUCAUUCACGUGUCAUUCAUACUUUAGUGGUCGCGAAUUGCGAUGUGACUUUGGGAGGAUAGUAGUAAUGCCAAAAGACUUUGAAGAAACGGUAGCUUGUGAAACGCAAAACCUUAUCUUAGGCCCGGCUGAUGGUUACUUGUACGGUUGUGCAUCUCGAUCAGACGUACACAAUUUGGAAUUCUGUCUAAAAAUGCAUUGGGCUUAGCGUUGAUAUUGUCAACGGAUUACUCCUAUUUUAUAGUGACAUAUCUUCGGUCCAUAUCAACCUUUACUACCUGCUCUGAAGUCUGAACUGCUCCCGAUGCUCUGACCGCUGCAUUAUUGAAGGAAGAAUUUUCGUUCAUCGCACAUGCUUGCAUUUCAACGCUCUGGUGCACUUGCACUCAACUUUUAGGUCGCGUAACCCAAUCGUUUCACGAAACGGCUCCACCUGAAACUAUCAUAGGGGGUGUUUGGAUGCGAGGUACUAAACUUUAGGAGAGGUCACAUCGGAUGUUCGGACGCUAAUUAGAAGGACUAAACAUGAGUUAAUUAUAAAACUAACUGCAGAACCCCUAUACUAAUUCGCGAGACGAAUCUAUUAAACAUAAUUAAUCCAUCAUUAGCAAAUGGUUACUGUAGCACCACAUGGACUAAUUAGGCUUAAUAGAUUCGUCUCGCAAAUUAUACUCCAUCUGUGCAAUUAGUUUUGUAAUUAGCUUAUGUUUAAUACUCCUAAUUAGUAUCAAACAUCCGAUGUGAUAGGUACUAAAGUUUAUGAGGGAGUUGCCAAACACCCCCAUAAACAACUGAAACUGUUUUAUUUACUUGUAGUAUUUACCUAAACAACGUCAUGUGAUGUUGAAAGUUCCCAGUCAUGAGUAUUGAGUAGUAGCCCUGCAUAUGUGCUGCUCUGUUUCAAAGGCUCAUCGCUGUUCUUGUUGCUCGUGCAGUCUGGGUGCUGCAAGCCCCCCACCAGCUGCGGCUUCACCUACGUCAGCGGCACGGACUGGACCAAGACCACCGCCACCAACUCGUCGUCGGAUCCGGACUGCAACACCUGGAGCAACGAUGCGCUCUGCUACGACUGCCAGUCGUGCAAGGCCGGCGUGGUGGCCACCGUCAAGCGGGACUGGAAGCGCACCGCCAUCGUCUGCAUCGUCUUCCUCGUCUUCAUCAUCAUCGUCUACUCCAUCGGAUGCUGCGCUUUCAGGAAUAACCGCAGGGACAAUGCCUACCACGGCGGCUGGAAGGGCGGGUACGCCUGAUCUGGUCGAUCCACCGUCGUUUCGGAGCCUAGCAGACGAGAUCCGCUGCUCGAUUGGUCGAGCGUGCCAGCUCAGUGCUCUGCUCUCGCUGUCCUGCGGUCGCUUUCGUCCUAUAUGUUUAGGCUUCAUCUAGCUCUGUACAGUCGAGGUUGUUACAGCUUCUUAUCGUCUGCUAGUCACUUUGUUAUGAUCUGAUCACUGGUCAGCAGUAGGUUUUGUACAUGCUGUUCGUUGAUUUUGAUAUACUGCUCUAUAUUCGUAUGUGGAUGCCUUUAUUCUACAUGUUACUUUGGUGAAGGCUUUUCGGUUUUCCACUUUCUUUCCAAAACUUCUUCGCUUGACACGAAACAACGAGAUCUUUGCUUGACACGGCAGAGGAUUAGCUAGUCCCAUUUUUUUAAGAGAGAGAGAGAGAGAGAGAGAGAGAGAGAGAGAGAGAGAGGAUUAGCUAGCUAAUUUCUACUCUUUCCAGCGAUCUCUGUCAAUCUUUACUCUGUUUUCUUGCCAUGAUAUCACCAACCUGAAGUUGUUGAGCUAAUCACCAUUUCGGACGGGUUGCACAAAACUAUUGCACUUAUCCCCGUCCUGCACUGCACACAAAGUAGCACACGGUUCUGCUACUGACCGUCCCCGAUGAAGUAAUCCAAGAAAGGGUGGGAGACGAAGGCUCCAAGUCUUGAGCCAUGACGAAGCGAUAGGAAAGCUGUGGUGCCCCAUGAGAGGCAAGUGCAGCCUAACGUGCCGUCUGAAAAUAUCCACCCCUUCCCACUUUCACUGCCCAGGUUCCGAAAACAACUCCGGGCACCACCAUCUUGCUUUGUCGUCUUCGGUGUACGAUUCUUUCCUAUCAACCUAAUGGUCAUGCUUAACACGGGACUAUGUCCUUGGCAUCUUCCUUGUCAGAUGAGAAAUAUCUUAGCGAUGGCAGCAGAUAUUAGACAGUGAUAGAUCGAUGGAUGGUCCAGCCAAUGAAGGCUCGGCAGAUUGUUACGGGCACCAAUAUCAGGUUCCAAAAGGAUGCUAAAACUUGAAUGGAUCGAGAAAGGUGUAACUUCAGUGGAGUCCAUGAGCACAUGGGCUGAUGACUUGAUGUAGGCGCAAAUGUGUAAAUCCGUAAAUGCGCUUGCUGUUCCUAGUGGAGUUACUGGUUCCAGAAGUGGUGGUGACUAUUGCUGGUUCGCCUGGAAAUAUCCAAGGGGACUGACUGGGGCCAGCGGCUUGGUCCUUUCAGAGAAUGAAGUGAUAGAGCCGGCAUUAUAUUGCUCGAUGGACUAUUUCACUAGAAAAUGCUCUAUGAAAUGAAUUUGAGAGGAACUUUGCCCACCCAAAUUUCUUAUUUUGUUUUUCCUUGCAAUACUCUUCUAUAAGUAUUGUAAACUAGAGAAGACUUGCAGGUUGUGCAUUGGACUGUUACCGCAACAGGGCAGCUAGAUAGCUUAAAGCCUUAAACAUAGCUAAUUUUCAAUCGCUUUUCAAAGGUUAUAUGUUAACGUGAAACAUUCAACUACCAUUAGUACAACUUAAACACGACAUUCUCCAGUGUAUUAUAAAAAAACCCAGCAUGUUUGAGUAUUUUCAUUGAUCGCGUUCUUAGAUAACAACGGUUCAGAAAGGUUAGUUUGUACUGUGUGAUUCGGCAUAAAAAAAAGAUUAGUUUGGCACUCUAAUCUUACACAAACAAUCUGCAUUUUAGGUCCAUUUACGUUUGGAGUUGCUAGAAUUGGUAGUCAUUAUAUUGCUUUUUUGCAUCUCAGCUUUACAUAACGGCACGGCAUACAAAUCCGACAAUUGAGGCCAAUGAUUUGAUUUCUCAGAAAAUAAAGUGAGAGAUGUGGCAUUAUAUUGUUUGACGGAACAUUCUCUAGGAAAUGUUCUAUGACACCAUUAUUUUUUUUAAAAAAAAAUCUUGCCAACACAUGAUGCUUUGCCUUUUUUUACUGCAAUACUCUUCCAAAAAUCAUGAUUAGCUAGAAGAAGACUUGCAGGUUGUGCAUUGGACUAUUUUUUGGUAAUAGGAUAGUUGAAUAGUAUGGAAGCAGAUCAUUUUUAAUUCCUUUGGAAAGCUUGACACUAGCAUGAAACAUUGCAACUAUCGCUAGCAUGCCUAAAAUGAAAUGCAGUUCUCCAGUCUAUUCUUGAAAAAUAAAAUUAGUAUUAUGCAGAUAGAAAAGGAUAAAGAAAAAGAAAAUCAGCAUGUCUGAGUAUUAGCAUUACCAUUGUCAGAAACAGCGAGUCUGAAAGAUGGUAAAACUUGAAUGAACUGAGAAUGGUGUAACUUCAAUGGAAUCCAUGAGCACAUGGGCUGAUGACUUGAUUAGGCCCACAUAUGUUAAUCAGUAAACGCGAUUGCUGUUACUAGUGGAGUUACUGACUCCAGAAGUGGUGGUGACUGUUGCUGGUUCGCUUGGAAAUAUCCAAGGUGACUGGGACGGGACCGACGGUUUGGUCUUUUCAGAAAUGAAGUGACAGAGCUGGCAUUAUAUUGCUCGAUGGAAUAUUUCACUAGAAAAUGCUCUAUGACAUCAGUUUGAGAGGAACUUUACCUGCACAAAAUUUUUCUUUUGUGUUCGCUUUGCCAUACUUUUCUACUAUUAUUGUAAACUAGAAAGACCUGUAGUAGAAGGUUGUGCAUUGGACUGUUUCAGCAACAGGCCAGCUAGGUAGCUUAAGCAUAGCCAAUUGUCAAUCCUUUUUUCUUUUUUGAGCAAGCCAAUUGUCAAUUCUUCCUAAGAUUAGCGACUACUAGUAUACACCUACCAUUAGUAUGCCCAAAAGGAUACACUGCUCAGCAUAUUAGUAUGUCUGAAACAAUACACAUGAAACAUUUAGCGACUACUAGCAUGUCUCAAUAUUUCCAUUGAUCAGCGUUAAGAUAAUAAUGGUUCUGAAAUCUUUUGUGGUGUUGCACUCUACUCUUACACAGAUAUAACAUGCAUCUUCGAUUCGUUGGUGUUUGCAGUGACUAGAAGCGAGUCUGUCCCCUCACACUUUGCAUCAUCUGCUUUGCUAACAGCAUGGCAUACGAUCUGAGAAAUGAGACGAAUUUGUUUGAUUUUUUAGAAAGCGAAGCGAGGGGACCGGCACUAUAUUGUUUGAUGGAACGUUCCACUAGGAAAUGUUCUAUGACGUCAAUAUUUUAAAAAAACUUUGCCAAGAAACAAUGCUUUGUUUUUAAAAUACUGAAAUUACUCUUGAAAAAGUCAUUAUUAACUAGGGAAGACUUGCAACCUUGCAGGUGAUGCCUUGGACCAUUUUUGGUAAAUGAAAAUAUACCUCAAAUCUUAAUUCCUUUGGAAAGCUUUACACUGACAUGAAACAUCGCAACUAUCGCUAGCAUAUCUAAAAUGAUAUGCCGUUCUCCGGUGUAUCUUGAAGAAUAGAAUUAGCCUUACGUGAAAAGAAAAAAAAAGGAAAAAUGUAUUCAACGUGUCUGAUUAUUACUAUUACCGUUGUCAGGCUCAGGCAACAAUGGUUCUGAAAGAUUGGUCCGAGGCUCUAUCGAAACACCGAUACAGUCUGAAUCUACACCUCCUUUGGAACCACUAGAAUGGAUUGCCAGACUCUCGCUCUUCGCGUCAUCUGCUUUGCCCCACAGCACCACAUACAAGCCGACAAUGAUAGUGAUAGCUCCUAAUACGCUGCACGAAACAAAGUUCACUGUGAAGACGCACAAGAACAGCGAUUAUCUACUUUCCAAACAGGGUGCUAGUAUCAGAAUGAAGCAUACCUUCCAAUAUGGAGUUCUUCAUGCAGGAAGAGUGUAGAUAACAUUGCUGUGAUCACUGCACUCAGGGGCGUAAAGAUUGCGCUGUAAAGGGGGCCUUUCACUGAUAUGCACCAGGAUUGGAUGAAAAAGUUUGCGCCGGAGGCAAAUACUCCCUGCAAAAAUUGUUCGAUAAUUUCGAUUGAUGAGUAGCAAUUCAAAGUUUCAAACCAGUGUGUAGACGAACGAUCAAGAAUGGAUUCGGCUGAACUUACUCCAUAUAAGAUGCAGGGGAACUCCCAGAACGAGGUGAGCUUCCAAAUUUGCAAGUAGUUUGGCUCCAGGAAGAAGGCCAUCACCGCGCACUGCAAGGUCGCUAAAAAGCACAUCCAGGUCGCCAGAGACAGGGGAUCAAGGUACUUUUUGCAGACGGGCACCUAAAACCACACCAUCACUUGAUCAGUCACCUUAAACCCCAGCAAUAGCGCGUUGAAUCUUGCCGAUGCAGGGCGAUUGCAAGCAUCGCUGCAAUUAGUUACCUGGAAGAUGUACCAGAUGGCGACGCAGACAGCAUUUCCGACGAGAUAAACCCCUCCUUUCACCCAGUCGCUAGUCGGCGAGAGAAGAACCGCGCCGAGGAGCUUGGGACCCUUGAAGAACGCCAUGAACAUUGCUCCGGCGAGGCAGAUGGCGGUGCCGACGAUCUUGGCGACGCUUCUCAGGUUUCUGAUAUCCACCUUCUCUAACCUGUGAACCGAAUCGAAGGCGGGAGUAAGAAUUUGGGCCGCUGCUGCCUGCUGGGCGAGGUCACAAUUCUAAUUUCGAAUUUCGAAUUUUUUUAUUUUAUAUAUAUUUUUUUACAAAUUUGCAUAAAUAUACAGUCGAAUCAAAAAUUUGCAAAAAUGGGUAUCGCCAGAUGAGAUGGCAGUAGCGCCGCCCCCCUGCUGCAGGCUUGCUUCCACCCAUUUUGGACCGCGUGCCACCCAUUUUGCAUGUGGUGGUUCCUGCCACCCAUCAUUUCGGGCCCUAUGCUCCCUAUCACCGGUGGUGGUUCUCGCCCUGACGGUGGUCCAAUUGAUUACUGCAACAGCUAUUGAUAGGUCCAGCUUCGUGCAAGUAGCAGCACAGUGCAGCAUGCAUGCAUGAAAAGGCACGACCAGGGCAGCGGAAACCCAUUUUGCAAGGUGCUGGUGGUGUUGCAGGCUCUUUUUGGACCGCGUAAUGCGGAAUAUGUUGUUUCACUCGUUUGGAGCUGCGCAAGGUGGGUGAAGCCCUACCGCCGUUUCAAACGGCGGUAAUAAGGGUCCCACCGUCGUUUCAGCCGACAUACACCUAUUUUUGCAAAUUUUUUAUUCGACUAUAUAUUUGUGCAAAUUUGUAAAAAAAAUAUAAAAUAAAAAAAAUUCUAGAAUUUCUAAAUGGGCUGUUCUUGACGACAUUUAUUAAUUGGAGGUCUCUUGGCCCACGAAACAAAUAAGCCCAUAUGAAAGAAUUUAGCCUGGCCCAGUAGUCCCCCAAAACGCGAAGUGGUGGGCCCAACUUUCCGGUCAGAAAAGGGAAAAACACCUCUCAAAAAAAGAAAAGGGAAAAAACAAAAAUAAAA